rnacentral:rRNA from 1 species
CCUACGGGGGGCAGCAGUAGGGAAUUUUCGUCAAUGGGCGCAAGCCUGAACGAGCAAUGCCGCGUGAGUGAGGAAGGUCUUCGGAUCGUAAAGCUCUGUUGCGGGGGAAAAAGGACAGGAAGAGGAAAUGCUUUCUGUUUGAUGGUACCCCGCCAGAAAGUCACGGCUAACUACGUGCCAGCAGCCGCGGUAAUACGUAGGUGGCGAGCGUUAUCCGGAAUGAUUGGGCGUAAAGGGUGCGCAGGCGGCAUGUCAAGUCUGAAGUGAAAGGUACGGGCUUAACCUGUACAGGCUUUGGAAACUGG